UACAGAGGGUGCAAGCGUUAAUCGGAAUUACUGGGCGUAAAGGGCGCGUAGGUGGGAAUGUAAGUCAGAUGUGAAAGCCCCGGGCUUAACCUGGGAAUUGCAUUUGAAACUGUAUUUCUAGAGUGGAGUAGAGGGCAGUGGAAUUUCCGGUGUAGCGGUGAAAUGCGUAGAUAUCGGAAGGAACACCAGUGGCGAAGGCGGCUGCCUGGACUCUAACUGACACUGAGGCGCGAAAGCGUGGGGAGCGAACAGG
rnacentral:rRNA from 1 species